CCCCUAGAUGUUCUGGGCCGCACGCGCGCUACACUGAACAGUUCAACAAGUCUUAACCUUGGCCGAUAGGUCUGGGUAAUCUUUGAACGCUGUUCGUGAUUGGGAUAGACCUUUGAAAUUAUUAAUCUUGAACGAGGAAUUCCUAGUAAACGCAGAUCAUCAAUCUGCAUUGAUUACGUCCCUGCCCUUUGUACACACCGCCCGUCGCACCUACCGAUUGGAUGGUCCGGUGAAGCCUCGGGAUUGUGGUUCUUGCCGCUUUAUUGUGGCGUGACCGCGAGAACUUGUCUAAACCUUAUCAUCUAGAGGAAGGUGAAGUCGUAACA
rnacentral:rRNA from 1 species